rnacentral:tRNA from 1 species
GGGCCUGUAGAUCAGUGGAAGAUCGCUUGAUACAAUUCAAGAGGGCACGGGUUCAAUUCCCGUCAGGUCCA